rnacentral:misc_RNA from 1 species
GAUGAAGAACGCAGCGAAAUGCGAUAAGUAGUGUGAAUUGCAGAAUUCAGUGAAUCAUCGAAUCUUUGAACGCACAUUGCGCCCCUUGGUAUCCCGAGGGGCAUGCCUGUUCGAGCGUCAUUUCACCACUCAAGCCUGGCUUGGUGUUGGGCGACGUCCCCUUUGGGGACGCGCCUCGAAACGCUCGGCGGCGUGGCACCGGCUUUAAGCGUAGCAGAAUCUUUCGCUUUGGAAGUCGGGGCCCCGUCUGCCGGAAGACCUACUCGCAAGGUUGACCUCGGAUCAGGCAGGAUACCCGCUGAACUUAAGCAUAUCAAUAAGCGGAGGA